UGGCUUAGAUGGUAAAGUGUCUGCCUGAAAUGCAGGAGACAGGGAUUCAAUCCCU
rnacentral:tRNA from 1 species